rnacentral:rRNA from 1 species
GAUGAACGCUGGCGGCGUGCCUAAUACAUGCAAGUCGAGCGAACGGACGAGAAGCUUGCUUCUCUGAUGUUAGCGGCGGACGGGUGAGUAACACGUGGAUAACCUACCUAUAAGACUGGGAUAACUUCGAGAAACCGUAGCUAAUACCGGAUAAUAUUUUGAACCGCAUGGUUCAAAAGUGAAAGACGGUCUUGCUGUCACUUAUAGAUGGAUCCGCGCUGCAUUAGCUAGUUGGUAAGGUAACGGCUUACCAAGGCAACGAUGCAUAGCCGACCUGAGAGGGUGAGCAGGCACACUGUGACUGAGACGCGGUCCAGGCUCCUACGGGACGCAGCAGUAGGGAGUAAUCGGCAAUGGGCGAAAGCCUGAAAAAGAAACGCCGCGUGAGUGAUGAAGGUCUUAUGAUCGUAACACUAUUUUAUUAGGAAAGAACAUAAGUGUAACUAACUGUGCCCAUCUUGACGGUACCUAAUCAGAAAGACAGGGCUAACUACGUG